rnacentral:rRNA from 1 species
UACGAAGGGGGCUAGCGUUGUUCGGAAUUACUGGGCGUAAAGCGCACGUAGGCGGUUCUGUAAGUUAGAGGUGAAAGCCUGGAGCUCAACUUCGGAAUUGCCUUUAAGACUGCAUCACUUGAACGUCGGAGAGGUGAGUGGAAUUCCGAGUGUAGAGGUGAAAUUCGUAGAUAUUCGGAAGAACACCAGUGGCGAAGGCGGCUCACUGGACGACUGUUGACGCUGAGGUGCGAAAGCGUGGGGAGCAAACAGG